rnacentral:rRNA from 1 species
UACAGAGGUCUCAAGCGUUGUUCGGAUUCAUUGGGCGUAAAGGGUGCGUAGGCGGCGCGGUAAGUCGGGUGUGAAAUCUUGGAGCUUAACUCCGAAACUGCAUUCGAUACUGCCGUGCUUGAGGACUGGAGAGGAGACUGGAAUUUACGGUGUAGCGGUGAAAUGCGUAGAUAUCGUAAGGAAGACCAGUGGCGAAGGCGGCUCUCUGGGACGGUACUGACGCUGAGACGCGAAAGCGUGGGGAGCGAACAGG